UAAGGAAUAUUGCUCAAUGGGAGAAAUCCUGAAGCAGCAACGCCGCGUGGAGGAUGAAGGGUCUAUGACUUGUAAACUCCUGUAAAGAAGGAAAAAAUUCCCAUUAGAUGGGAGAUGAUGGUACUUCUGGAGUAAGCCCCGGCUAACUACGUGCCAGCAGCCGCGGUAAUACGUAGGCAGCGAGCGUUGUUCGGAGUUACUGGGCGUAACGAGUGCGUAGGCGGCGAGCCAAGUUUGGUGUGAAAUCUCCCGGCCUAACCGGGAGGUUGCGCCGAAAACUGGUUGGCUGAAGUAUGGGAGAGGAAAGCGGAAUUCCUGGUGUAGCGGUGAAAUGCGUAGAUAUCAGGAGGAACACCUGCGGUGUAGACAGCUUUCUGGACCAAAACUGACGCUGAGGCACGAAAGCGUGGGUAGCAAACA
rnacentral:rRNA from 1 species